UGAUCAAAUAAGUAUAUGCUUAGGGAGGAGCUUGCGUCACAUUAGUUAGUUGGCAGGGUAAAGGCCUACCAAGACUAUGAUGUGUAGCUGGACUGAGAGGUUGAACAGCCACAUUGGGACUGAGACACGGCCCAAACUCCUACGGGAGGCAGCAGUAGGGAAUUUUCGGCAAUGGAGGAAACUCUGACCGAGCAACGCCGCGUGAACGAUGAAGUAUUUCGGUAUGUAAAGUUCUUUUAUUGAAGAAGAAAAAAUAGUGGAAAAACUAUCUUGACGAUAUUCAAUGAAUAAGCCCCGGCAAACUAUGUGCCAGCAGCCGCGGUAAUACAUAGGGGGCGAGCGUUAUCCGGAAUUAUUGGGCGUAAAGGGUGCGUAGGCGGUUUAAUAAGUCUAUAGUUUAAUUUCAGUGCUUAACACUGUCCUGCUAUAGAAACUAUUAGACUAGAGUGAGAUAGAGGCAAGUGGAAUUCCAUGUGUAGCGGUAAAAUGCGUAAAUAUAUGGAGGAACACCAGAGGCGUAGGCGGCUUGCUGGGUCUUUACUGACGCUGAGGCACGAAAGCGUGGGGAGCAAACAGGAUUAGAUACCCUGGUAGUCCACGCCGUAAACGAUGAGUACUAAGUGUCGGGAUUACUCGGUACUGAAGUUAACACAUUAAGUACUCCGCCUGAGUAGUACGUACGCAAGUAUGAAACUUAAAGGAAUUGACGGGACUCCGCACAAGCCGGUGGAUCAUGUUGUUUAAUUCGAAGAUACACGAAAACAUUAACCAGGUUUCCACAUACUCUGCAAAGCUGUAGAAACACAGUGGAAGGGUUGUGAUAUAACGGGAG
rnacentral:rRNA from 1 species